UUUCAGGAGGAGCCAGGUGCCCUCCCCAACAAAAUGCCUCUUGGAUUAAUUAGCUUCAAGUGCUGAAGAUUAGUCACGCCAGAUGCCUGACCUUUUUGUUUGUAGUAGAUUUUAAUCAUUUAAAAAUGCACUUGAGUAGGGAAAGUUACCAGCUCAAACCCUUAUUUACCAAGUAAGCCUUUAAUUGUCAACCGGUCUUAUCAUCAGCUAACACUCAGCAAACAGUUGGCAGCCAGUGGAGAAUUAAGAUAGGGAGCUAAAAUGGGAUGGGGUGUCUAGUCACCAGACAUGGAGAUGGGCUCCUCCUGGGCAAGGAGGAAGGCUCUGGGACAAAACCGCCUCCUUUGCAGAUUUCCUGAAGGAUAGCUUUAUCCAUAAACUAAGAUUUCAUUUCCAGCUAAUUGUCCAAAGCAAGUGCCUGCAUGGAAGUCAGGAGCGCGAGUGGCCCUGUCCCUGCAGAAACGCAGAUUAUGCAGCGCUGAGAGGCACCUCUCUGAAGGUAAGCUGCUGGCCCAAACGCGGCCCAGGAGGAAGACAGGAACGUCUUAUAGGGUCAUCAAGCUGCGUGCCCGGCCUCACUCAGCAUUUAGGGACUAUAAUGUGAGGACACACAGAAGGAGAGAACAACCUGAUUCUAUCUAAAUUAUCCACACUGAUGGCGCUGGUGGUGGUGGUGGUGAUGUGUGUGUCUGAGUAGAGGUAAGGGGCACCCUAUCCCCGUGCCUCUGAUUGUCCUUGAAAAUGCACUGCUGGACUUCCUGUUAAUGGAUUCUUUGGGGGAGACUUAUUACCAUUAUUAAUUGUUUGCCUUUGGUUGAAAGCCCAACAUAUCUGCUUUCUUCGAGCCCCCUUGAAAAGCCCUAGGAAAGGUGGCCCGGAAUGCCCUUUGGAGUUUCUCCAUAAGUGAUAGGCCUUUGGUUGUGAAGAACUGCAUUGACCUCAAGCUGUCAACAGUUGAUACUCAAGUUCAUGGAUGGGCAGGGGAGGUGGCCCAGAUGGCACCAGCAGCCUCGAGGAAGAGGUGGAGGUGAGGGAGGCAGCCCUUCGAAGGUCCAUGGAGGAGACAGGUUUGGAGAUUGUAAUUUACAAAUAAACUGUGCCCAUUACAGGAAGGACCGGGAAGUCAAAUAGGGCUUAUAGCCCAGAGCGAGGUGAUUCCCCAACUAUAAAGGAAGAACGAUACAGUAGGAAAUUGAGAAAUAAGUAUAGUUCAGCAGGAAAUUUCACGCAAUGCUGAGCCCACAAAGGAGACCUUGACUCACCAAUUGAGGCAGAUCCGGCCACUGAGAUUUCCGGGGCCUGUAAAGACGACUGGUCUGAAAUCCUGCUUCUCUACCCAGGUUCUCUACUCAAGGCUCCUGACCUACCUAAGCUCCUCAGGGUUGUUAACUAAAGUCCUAAAGGGCACGGAGAGGAUCUGAAAUUGGGCAAUUAGUGUUUAGAAACUGAAUAAAAAAGUUUAUUCCAAUGGAAAAGACUUCCUUGUGGCUCCCUCCUCUCGGGAGCUAGAACCAGUCUGGUUGGGUCCAGAUACAAGCCCAUCUUCUGACCUCCUGAUCUGGGGAAUUCAGUCUAAAUUCAAAUGGGCUGAAGAGGGGAGGGAAAGCCAUCCACCCUUACUUAGUUCCUGCUGGGUGUCAGCGUGGAAGGAAAAAAUCAUCUCAAACCUGGAGAAAGACCAAACGGUGAUUGCUUAAAUCUUUGUUCUCAGGCAAGAGUCUGUCUGAACAGAAGCACGUCCUUGCUACUUGUUACUCUUCCAUCAUCUCACACUUUUGGGGAAUGUAACAUGGCUGGGAUACUGUAUCUGAUUUUAAGAAGUCGUGAUGGAUAAAGAAGCAGACAGUUUAUAUCUGCUUGAUGAGGGUCUCUGCUGGCCAGUGGUGAGAAGCAAGGAGCAGCCAGUGCCAGAAUGAACGUCUCUCUUGGACCCCUCUCCUCUGUCCGGGAGUUCACCAGGGAUGGCUCAGGGCCUGCAUUACCUGUUUUUUGUUUUUUUUUCCUGGUGUGAGCAAUCCUGCAGGUAAUAGAACAAGAAGUUUGACAUUUUGAUUUCCCUAAACUCUUAGGGGAUGUCCCCCCAACCCUUCCAGCUGGAGAACCUUCCUUCUAGUCUAAGGAGUGGUGCAAGUUCCCAGAUGAAUGAUUUUCUGAUUUGCAAAAUCACCGUCUGAACUGGCUACUAAGGUCAGGGUAUCAACAUUUAGCAACUCUUUCAAGUGAUCUGUACUCAUUCAUGUUUCAGUGGGACAAGGCUCUCCUCUCUUCCUCCUGAAUGGCCUAAUUAGAAAGAAAGCAUGGAACUCUUCUGCUGCCAAUGCCUGAACCCUGGUUCCUCAUCAGUCUAGCCCAGCAAGGGCUCCAUGCGGUUCAGCUUUCUCAGUAUCUUGUUUGGCCAUGGCACCUUUUUCCUUGUGCUUUCUAGAGCAAAAUAUCUAACCAAAGCAGGAUGCUCUGGGUUGCUUUCCUGCUUUGGUCCUAGAACCUUCCAUAAUAAAGUCUAUUAAGUGUCUAUUAAGUCUAAGACACCCUAUAAGUGUAUUAAGUGUCUAAUACAGUGUCUGUUAAGAUCUAACCACAAAUAUCAUGCUUCAUGGAGAACUAUUAGGCAUUUCUUUUAAAUGACAGGAAGAAGGCAAGGAUGUCCUAUUGCCACUUUUAUUUAAUAUUUGUAUUGGAGAUCCUAGCCAGUGUUACAGGACAAGAAAAAAUAAAUGAGAAGUAACGGGAGCUCUGGAGGCACUGGCCAUGUGAAGUCAACAAAUACCCUGCAAAUUUCUGCAUUUCAUUGCCUCCUUCAUUUAUCCUUCUGAAUAACUGCUACCUCUUGCAGAGUUUUUAGGAAUAUGUCCCAGCCAAGUUUGACUUAGUUCUUCCCCUGAGGCUAUUAUGUCAUUACUGGAAAACACGCUUAUUUGCUGAAUGGCUGUUGCCACAGUGUGCAUCUGGGACACCCAGGCUUGGAGCAGAGAGAUGGUGCUAUGCUCUUGGACUCUGGAGAGAUCAGCUACCCUGAGUCCCCUCCUCUAGGAAAAUGUUCAAAAAUUUAGGAACUCAGUCUGAGGUCGAGACCUCAAAAACCAUCUCUGAUGCAUUGUCCUUUUCUGUUGUCUCUGUUCUAGGUCUCACAGAAAAUAAACUUUCUAACAAAUUCAAAGAGUGUUUUAUUUGCCUUCUUUAUCCACCAGAAUAUUCUGCCAUCUACUCUGUGCUGCCCAAGCAUUGGAAGGUACAGUGUAGGAAUUCUCCAAGCUCGGCCCAUUCCAGCACUGACAUUUAAUAGUCAAUAUUGCAUUCAGUCCCACAAACCAAACUUUUGACACAAUUAUAUAGCUACUGCCUCAAAAAGCAGCUGGCUCCAAGUUCAGGGGAUUCAGCUGACCCAUGACACAGAUGGUAGUCUUCUAAGAACCCCUAAAUGCAAUAGGUAUGAUUUGAUUAAUCAAUUACAGUCACAUGGGUUUAAUUUUCCCCAUGGGUUGCUCAUCCUCCCACAUCCCCUACCAGGACGAUGCCUGGUAUCUCUUUCUUGAGCCAAGGGCUCUCUCAGGCAAGUGGGGCCUGGGGAUCAAUUCUGCUCUCAUGAACUGGGGGGCAGACAGCAGCAGCCUCUUUUGUGGUUACUCCUAUUUGCUAUAGGAGCUGAUGGUAAAGGCCAGUCUGCACAAUUCUGUAGAUGGUGCUUCUCUAUCAAGCUGCUGGGAUGCCUUCUAUAAAGCCCAGGCUUAGUGGUGCUCUGACACAAGCACUGGGAAAGAAGUUCUGCUCUUCUUAAGCCCUUUCUGAUGAUCAGGCAUUGCUACCCAAAGCACACAGGAAGGCUGGGUUUGGGAGCGUUUCUAUCAGCAGCCCUUACUGGUCCUGGGUCUGCUUGUGGUUGGUGUGGUCUCCCCUUUUCCUUAUGGUUAUUUGACUUGAAGAAGCUUUUCUCACCUGUGGAUCUUGGUGGGGCCAGUAUGUCUCUGUUACCUCGUGUUCCUAGGAGAUGUCUUUUCCCCACACUGCCUACAGCACUGCUGACAAACUGUGCACCGGGGGUCAGAAGGCAGGCGUCAAGGUAUCAUUGCCCAGCAGAUCCAAACAGAACAGAGCUGCUUCCAUGAAGCCUGUGAAGGUCCUGGGGGGCGUCUCAUGACCUUCCCCUCUCCUUUUCUCUACUGUCUGCCACUUUUACGAUUUUCAGAUAGCUCUCUGCUUUGCAUAUGCUGAAAAACUUGCUGCGAUUCUCUCGUCAAGAAAAUCAUCCCUAGCUGGCCAAGCAUCUGUUUGUAUCUGCCAGUAGAGGGUCUCUGUUAUAAACCCUCCUUAUCCCCAAAUGUCUAUGCUGUCCUGCUAAAAACAAACCUCAAACCACGGUUGAGAGGUAGUUCAUAUAUGACAACAUUCACCCAUUUAAAAUGUCAUGCAGUCCUUUUAAGAGGACAGUCAAUGCUUUCCAGAAUCUGUUCUGUAAGAGCAAGGAAGGGUGUGCCUUACUGGAAACCAGUUCACUGUGAGGGUGGAUUCUGCUGGGUGCCCCAGGGACCUGAAUGAAGAGUGGAUUUCCUGCAGUCGCUUGCUUUCAGGGUGGUACUGUUAUGCUGACACACAAGUCUAACGCCGGCCACCUCAGAGCUCUGCAGGUGCUCUAGCUGGGCUCCCAUUCAGUCAGGUGGAGUCUCCGAUGGGCCUGGCUGCUUGGGCGGUGAUGAGACUGUUUAGGCUUUAAGUCAGUGGGGUUGAUGAUUUGGAUUUCGACAUAGUGUAGGCUGAUUGCCAAUCAAGUGUUCACCCACACCGUUCUCACCUGCAGGGCCGCGGACUUCCCCGGUUCCAAGAAGAGGCAGCCCCUGUUCCCUGCUAAGGAAACCUUCUCUCUUCCUUUCCUUGUUCCCUGUGCCGGGGUGCAGGCUGGGGAAGAGGAGGCCUCCCCUGACUUCCGUACGGAUGGCCACGGGAGAGGUGUCUGACCACCUCUUCUCCCUCUGAGCUGUUAUCACCUUCCCCUGGUGUUUCUGCAGCUGGUGGCAGAGGAGGCCCUCUUACUCACUAAGCUGAGUCCUUGUGGGGAGGGGAGCUCCACACCCUCAUCUCCUGUGCACAUUAGCCUUACUCUCUGGAGUGCUAGAAGCAGAUUUACAGAAUAGGCUUAAAUCACCAGAAAAUGGCCAUCUUCCCUGCAGUGACUCCAGUGAAGCUGGAAGCCGUCAGUGCUGAGCCUCUUGUGAAGGGUUGGCUCCCAUGACUGGUCCUGGUCAAGCCAGCCUGGUGCCCCCUGGGUGCUGGCAUCUUCUCCAGCAGCCUUCUGGAGCACAGGACCGACAGCAUCGGUUGUCUUCCCAAGUUUCCAGGAGAUCCCAUGGGGGCCACACAACUCUUCACAGCGCCGAGUGUCCACUGUUCGGCUUUUCCACCACGGUUCUGGAGUCUUUGUCCGCAUGAAGCCCAUGAAGGUCCUGGGGUGCAUCACAUGACCUUCACCUCUCCUUUUCUCUACUGUCUUCCACUCUUACAAUUUUCAGGCAAGUUUGCUGUCCUGUCUGGAAUGUCUGUUCCCCCAAGGCUGUAAUGUCAAGUCCUGUCAACCACACUCCCUCCU